GGAUGCGAGCGCCGCUGCUGCAACAACCUCACUCGCGUGAUUCCACAAACGGGCGUCACGCACAUUAUCCGGUUAAUUUACAUACAAAACACCGCCCAGGGGGACGAACAUGAUAAUCACCCAUCGACUGAAAGCUAACCGUGCGGAGGGGAGGAAAAAACAGCUGAAAAAAAGUUUGGACGGGAGAGGACUGUAUUAAACCAAGCGAAGUGUUUCGACACAAACGAACAGGCACUUGUCGGGCUUUUUGCCCUACUUUUGGAUUACGAUAUGGACGCUUUGAAAUCCGCUGGAAGGGCAAUUAUACGGAGCCCCAGUAUCGCCAAACAGUCGUGGGCUGCGAGCAAACAUAAAAAGCUUCCAGAGAACUGGACAGACACGAGGGAGACCCUUCUGGAGGGCAUGGUGUUCCAGCUCAAGUACCUGGGGGUCACAAUGGUUGAGCAGCCCAAAGGAGAGGAGCUGUCUGCGGCUGCUGUCAAGAGGAUAGUGGCCACGGCCAAAGCCAGUGGAAAAAAACUCCAGAAAGUCACAUUAACGGUCUCCCCACGAGGAAUCAUCCUUUACGACAGUGCCUCCAACCAGCUGAUAGAAAACCUCUCCAUAUACAGAAUAUCAUAUUGCACGGCGGACAAGAUGCAUGACAAAGUGUUUGCCUACAUCGUCCAGAGCCAACACAAUGAGACUCUGGAGUGUCACGCCUUCCUCUGCACGAAGAGAAAAAUGGCCCAGGCGGUAACCCUAACAGUGGCUCAGGCUUUCAGAGUGGCGUUUGAAUUCUGGCAGGCUGCCAAGGAAGAGAAAGAAAAACGAGUGAAGUUGUGUUCAGACGAAGAAGGAGCCAGUAACUCUCAGUCGGACAGCUCGGCUAGCCUGGGCAGCCUGAAGGGAGGAGAGGUAGCCACAGCAAAGCUUCUGGAUUUGGCAGAGGGAGCCAACGUGGCGCUGGUCCACUCAGGAACAAAGCAGACUGAAUCGGAUCCCUUUAUGGUGCAUAAUCACGCAACAGAGAACAACAAUACUGUAUGGGAGUUGGAGGACGGUCUGGACGAGGCUUUCUCAAGCCGCAGUCUGGAUAGCUUUGAAUCCUACUCAGACUCGCUGAGUCUCGCACUAACCCCCAGGUCCUGGACAUUGGGGUAAACCCUCAGGACUUCAACACUGAAGAGUGCCUGUCCCCAGGCAGAUGGGACCAAGAGGACACGGACUUCACCACACAAAAAGACACUUUUUUAAAGUGAAGCCUCCGGGAAACAGGGAAACAUGAGGAGAAAUGGUGGUAAAACAUGGUUGGAAACUGAAGUGACAAAACAGACAUUUGUGACAUCAACAUGGUUUCCCACCUUCUCCCUGCUGCCAAGUCCUCUCUGUGGUUAUGUCGAGUGGCUCUUUGAUGCUUCUGCAUGACCAGAGGAGGACAGAGACACGAGCAGGCUGCUCGCAGAACAGGCCAAAGCAAUACAAACCAAUUUAUCCCUUUUCUAUGAAAAACAUGCAGUCAUUUAAUGUUUGUUACAGUCAGUGUAUAACUUCCUUUUUUUGUGUCUGUUUACCCAUACACUGUUAGUAAUGUCUUUGUGGUAUGUGCUCGUGUACAUUGCGUUGAAGAAAGCGUGUGUGUGGAUGUACAGUAUAUAAGUGUACGAAGUGAGAUAUGAGAACUGUGAUGUGCUGAGUUUUGAACAGGUGAGGUAAAGGUCAAAAAGGUUGCUGUCACGUAUUUUAACUUUAACUAGAGAUGGAGAAAUGUAACUGGAUUAGAGGGGAAAGUAUGUGGUGAAGGCCACCAAUGCCUCAGUUUCAGUAUUGGGUAAAACAAAGUUACUACCUAUAUGUGCUUCAAGGAUUCAGCCUUUCGUUGGGCAACAAAAGCUUUAAAAAAA